CUGCCGAGAGUGUCUUCAGCGCCAGCAUUUCCUGGCCUAAUUAAGCUGGGUAAUGAGUAGCUAAGAGGAGGGGAUAAAAGCCCUAGGCGGCUUAGAGCUGGGACAGUUUAUGACAGGGGCGUCUGCAGCUGGUGACAUUCCUAGGAAAAUUAUUUCUCAUAACCCUGGGAAGUUGCAUGCUGUUUCCUUAGCAGCAGAGUAAGCCUCAAAGGACAUUCUGAUUGUCAUAACUGCGGGAGGCAGACAACUUGCUACUUCACCUGGAGAGUAGAGGCUGACGAUGCUGCUAAACAUCCGACAGUGCACAGGACAGCCUCCAAAACAAAGAAAUAUCUGGCGCAAAUGUCAGCAGUGCUGAGGAUGAGAAGCCCUGCUGGACAAAUGGGAAGAAGAGCUCUGCCCGCUGAUUCCUCCUGGCAGAAAAGUUCCCACUGGGCUCCUCUCUACCCUGCCCAGUGGGUCUGCAGCUGUUUUGUUUCCAGGAGCCUGAGAGAGAGACAGAAGCAGCUGGGAGGAGAAAAAUCAACGCGGCCAGGGGCCCUACUGGUCCUUCUGCCUUAGCCACAGGUUCUGAAACCAAAGCAAAACCACCAGAGAGUGAUUCAUGUGGGUAUGGCCCUCCCUCCCCCUGCCCAGAAAGGUUUCUCUUGAGCCCAUAUGCUAGUUUCUGUCAUGCAAACGCCCUGGCAAUGCCUUCCUUGCCUUGGCGCAAUGGCUCUGAUUGGGUAGGCAUCUCCGGGGGUUAAUACUGGCACAAACUCAUGUAAAUCUUCCUGGGCCUAAGUCUGGUGUACUCUCAUAUGUGAAUUGGCAUGGUCCUGGAGGGCUAGUCAGCUAGCUCCUAGCCUCGAGAUCGGCCUGGACCAAACCAAAAAAAAAAUCAUCUCUGGUGAAACAGGAUAGCCACCCCACCCCCUGCUCAGCAUUCCCCAGUGCCUCCCUUCACAGUGGCCAGUUUGGAUUCUUCUCACCAAACGCUCAAGACCUGUACAGGUUACUUAUUGGUCCCCUUCAUGCCCCAGAUGCAAAUUUGGCAUGUCUCAUUUGCAUUCUAAAGUGUUUGGAGGCAAGGCUGGGAUGAGCUUAAUUUGCCCUGAUGUCUUUUGACCAGGUUAGUAAACAUCCCUCCAGCCCAUCUCAGCACUUGAGAAUCUGGAAGGCAGCUAUGCUUUAAUUACAGUGCAAUUUCAGGAGUUUGCUUGCUGUUCCCCCUUGGCUCUUUGCCUAGCUUAUUAUUUUCAUCUUGUUGUUUGUUUGUUUAAAUGAGAACUUUCGUAGACAAUUCCCUCUCCCGCCUCCCCCAGAGGCCAGUCUGUGUUGCUAGAGGACUUUUUCUGCCUCCCUCUUGGUUUACAAAGCCAGGGCAUCUCUGUUGACAAAGGGUCUGCGAUCUGGCACUGGGCCUGGCAGUUAGGGAGUGUGUAAGAAAUGCAGAUGCCUUUUGCAGAUGCCUGCCCUGCUCCUCCUCUAAGCAGCCAAAACAUCCUGCACCACCUCGGGAAGACCCCACAUCCCAGCUUGCUGGUCUCUGAGCACUCUGCCCCGCCAACCCUAUAGCGCUAGGAAGGCAGGAAGGAUGGAAAAGGCUGUGGGGGAUUGAGUAAGGGAUUUGGGAAUGAGGGACAGUGACACUGUAGGUGGGUUGGCUUAGCAGGGGGAUUGGGAGUGGCCAGCUGGAGUGGUGGAAAGAACUGGGGACAGGGAGUCAGGAAGCUGAGCUUUUAUUCAUCCCAGCUUUGCUACUGACAAGUUAGGUGGUCUUGGGGCAGACUGGGCCAAAUCUGGGCCUUCCUGUGUAAAACGCAUGCUCCCAUCUCAAGGUCCUUUUCUACUUUACAGAUUCUCUUGCUUUUAGAAUGCUAAUUUCAUUGACUGUGGCCUGUUUCCUUCUCCAGAGACAGGAUAACCCAAUAAA
ensembl:lncRNA CECR3 cat eye syndrome chromosome region, candidate 3